rnacentral:rRNA from 1 species
AGAAUUUGAUCUUGGUCAGAACGAACGCUGGCGGCAGGCUUAACACAUGCAAGUUGAACGGGAUUUGUUGGGUGCUUGCAUCCAAUGAUGAGAGUAGCGCACUGGUGAGUAACACGUGGGAACAUGCCUUUUGGUGGGGGACAACAGGAGGAAACUUCUGCUAAUACCGCAUAAGCCCUAAGGGGGAAAGAAUUUUUUGCCGAAAGAUUGGCCCGCGGAAGAUUAGGUAGUUGGUGGGGUAAAGGCCUACCAAGCCGACGAUCUAUAGCUGGUCUGAGAGGACGAACAGCCACAUUGGAACUGAGACACGGUCCAGACUCCUACGGGAGGCAGCAGUGAGGAAUAUUGGGCAAUGGAGGAAACUCUGACCCAAGCCAUGCCGCGUGAGUGAAGAAGGUUUUCGAAUUGUAAAGCUCUUUCGGAUGUGACGAUGAUGACGGUAACAUCUAAAGAAGCCCCGGCAAACUUCGUGCCAGCCGCUGC